ACGAUGGUUCUGCUUGAGAAGCUUUGGGAUGAUGUUGUGGCUGGACCUCAGCCUGACCGCGGUCUUGGCAAGCUCAGGAAAAUCACCACCAAGCCCUUCAUCCUUAAAGAUUUGGAAGGAGAGGGAAGCAAAUACCAGAGGUCGAUGUCUAUGCCAGCUAGUCCGGGAACACCCACCACGCCGGUGACACCUACGACGCCGUUAACAGCGGCGCGUAAGGACAAUGUUUGGAGGAGCGUCUUCAACCCUGGUAGAAACUUUGCAACCAAGUCUAUUGGUGCUGAAGUCUUCGACAAACCUCAACCCAACUCUCCAACUGUUUACGACUGGCUUUACAGUGGUGACACCAAGAGCCAGCACCGUUAAAUGGUGGCUGCAGCUGCGGCGGCGAUAAUCGGUGGCCGCAUGUAAAUAGCGUCAUAAUAGGGUCAUGUUUGGUGACGUGGACCGGUGGGUUUUGGAUGUUUAUGUGAUUUACAUGUUCUAACUAGGUUUUGGCAUCUGAGUUUAUUUAAGUGUUUAGAGUGUUGUUUAAUCUUUAAUGUGUGAGUCUGUAGUUAAUUAGGUCUAAGUCUGCUGACACGGCCGAUGAUCGGACUACUACUUCAUAGAGUCCGCCGUGCACGGCGGUGAUUAGCGACUCAUGAUUGUUGUUUAAAUAAAUGUGGUCUUUUUUUCCCUUCAAAUUUA
rnacentral:misc_RNA from 1 species